GUGAGCGGCUAAAGUCUUUCUUCUGCCUACAUCUCCCAGAAUGCUGUGCGGCUCCGGAUCAGAGUACACUGAAAGGAUUGAAUAUUCGAUCAGCUGAACAUAGCAGGGUCUAAAAGUCUAAUCUCACAACCCACCACAUCACAUGCCAGGCAGUUUUUAUGCUGCGAAGCUGAAUGGUUGAGCUCAAAUCUCGCCGUAACUUUAAUCAAGUUAUUUUAUCACCAAAAUCUCACCAAAACUUUGGGAACAAACCACAAUAAAAAAGGAACAAAAGAGGAGUGCGCUCCAAGCAGAAUGAAAAGCCUUUAAUGGGCUGAAAUGGACGAAGCCAAACAGAAGAUGCUGCCGGGCAGGAAACCCAGGAAAACAUAAGAAAGCAAGGAUCCAAAAAUAAUCAAGAGAUUGGCAACGGGGCUGAAAAUACAGGUGGUGAGGCACACAGAGAGCUGGCAGGAAGAGGAGGGAAAAUGUGCAGGAUGUAUAUAGUGAGGAGUAGCAGGUGUGACAAUCACAAGGACCAGUUGUGCUGGGAGGACAGAAACCCAAACCAGGCUGAGGAACAAACUGAGACACAAAAACAAGCAAAUGUGUCGCCAUGACGCAUUUCAAAGAUAUAAAGCAACAACUGAAAGGCAAAAAGGUCAACAAUUACAGAAGAAGUCAAAGAAAAAAAAUCAACACACAUCACCAGAGACGCGUCAAACAAAGUGUUUUCAGCAGACAUUUUAAUUUCCCUUUGGGAUCAAUAAAGUAUUUUUGAAUUUGAA